rnacentral:rRNA from 1 species
AGAUUAAGUUAUUAAGGGCGCACGGUGGAUGCCUUGGCACUAGAAGCCGAUGAAGGACGUUACUAACGACGAUAUGCUUUGGGUAGCUGUAAGUAAGCGUUGAUCCAGAGAUUUCCGAAUGGGGGAACCCAGCAUGAGUUAUGUCAUGUUAUCGACAUGUGAAUUCAUAGCAUGUCAGAAGGCAGACCCGGAGAACUGAAACAUCUUAGUACCCGGAGGAAGAGAAAGAAAAAUCGAUUCCCUGAGUAGCGGCGAGCGAAACGGGAAGAGCCCAAACCAACAAGCUUGCUUGUUGGGGUUGUAGGACACUCUAUACGGAGUUACAAAAGAACAUG